UUGUAGCCUCGCAGACGGAGGAGCAGCCCUCCCACU
rnacentral:tRNA from 1 species